rnacentral:lncRNA from 1 species
UUUUUCUCCAAUUUCUUUCACUAAUGCCUUAUAGUUUUUAAUAUACAGAUCUUUCACUGCAUUAGUUAAAUUUAUUCCUAGGUAUCUUAUUCUUUUUGAUGAAAUUGUCAAUGGGAUUGUUUUCUUUAUUUCUCUGAUAUAUUGUUUGUUAUUAGUGUAUAGAAAUACAACAGGUUUUUGCAUAUUGAUUUUGUAUCCUACAACUUUACUGAAUUUGUUUACUAGUUCUAACAGUUUUUUGAGAGAGUCUUUAGGGUUUUCUGUAUAUAAUAUGUCAUCUGCAAAUAGUGACAGUUUUACUUCUUUCUUUCCGAUUUGGAUGUCUUUUAUUUAUUUUUCUUGCCUAAUUGCUUCUGGCUAGGACUUCCAACACUGUGUUGAACAAAAGUGGCAAGAGUUCUAAGUGAUUUAUAACUAAGUAAUUUUUUACAACUACUAGGCUAGAACUGAAAGUUAAGAGAAUGCAAUAUCAACUUAAUUAUCAAGUGCCUGAAUGUAAUUACCAUUAGGCAGUCUCCCUAGGUGCUGAUGAAUUUAUCAGAUCCCAGGGAAGUGGCUUUCCAUGGUGGGUACUGUGGUUUGUCCAUCCAAUGACUUCUCUUUUUAGAACAACCCCUCCUCCACUCCACGUUGUCCUGGUGGGGUUGUUCACCAUGAGGCCCACCCAAACCCCCAUCAUAGCAGGAAGGUGAUGCAACCUGGCCAACCAAUGAACUCCAUCUCCCUGGCAGGGGUCGUUUCAAUAGGUUCGAUUAGAAUCUUUCCUGGGUUUUGCUAUAUGGACUGUGGGAAAAAGAGUGGCUUUCUCUUCCUUUUGGAACAAGUUUGGCACUCCCACCCACUAGCCAGGAGUGAUCUUUCCCGUCAUACAGUCAAAACAUGCCUGAGAGUGAAGCCAACAUUUAAGUGAAACAGAGCCAAGAGAAGCAGAGAGAGAGACAGAGGCCCAACAACGUUGCUGGAGCCCCUGGAACAAGUCACACCUAAAACUCAUCAUGUAUACCCCCUACCCCAUACUUAGUUUCAUGAGCAAAUAUAUUACCUUUUCCACUUAUGCUACUUCAGUUUCUGUCACCUCGAAUCAAGAGAGUCUAAUUAAUGUACUCAUUGAAUGAAACAUUUUCCAGAAUAUUCAUUGACUCUCAGAAGACUUGCAUUCUUCCCAUCUACAUGGCUAGCUUAAAAAAUAUUUUGACCAAAAUGCUUGGAAGAAAAUCUACACAAAGACAGGGUUACAGUCUUUCUGUAGGUUGGUAGGAUUAUUUUCCCUUUAACUUAAAAUCAUCCUGAUGGCGGCAUAACUUUGUAUCUCCUUAUACAGAGAGAUUUUUUUUUAUUAUGAAUGAUAGAUAACACUGUGGAAGCUCAUUAAUAUUAAACAGCAAUACCAAAUUUAAAAACUUCCAGUAGAUUGUUAUUUAAAAAUCAUUCAAACACUGGCAAAAAGAAUAUCGCCUUUGCAAUGUCUUCAAAUUCAUUUCUGAAAAUGUGUAACAAAUGCCUUCAGCAGCAGGAACAGCUCCUUCCCACUCUCUGAAGUUUUGUACUCAGAAAGCAAUUCCCAGGGGAUCUCACAAUCAUUCUAACACAGAGCAACUAGGACUCCCAGAAAGCAAGUCCAAAAAUUGAAUUAGACUUCGAUUCCAUUAAAUUGUACCUCGAAAGGGACUGAUCCCUGGGAUGCAUAACUGAGGGAUUUACCAAUUUAACCCUCUUUGCAACUGUUUGUGCACGUUGUGAAAAUAUUUCCUUUAUGUGUUAUUAGAAAUGUGACAUCUGCUUAUGGUGACAAUAAAUGAACAACACAGAAGCUUAUGAAAUAGAAAAUAAAACUCUCUACCCCUCAUUUGAUCCCCACUCCCCAGCGAUAACCACUGGAUUAAUAUCGACUUCCUCAAGCACCAUUGUGAGUUGAAUCAUGCAGAUGCUGGUCACAUACAACAGAAAACUUCUGUUCGGAAGGGAUUUCUGAUUUAACAAAUGUAAAGGAGUUCUAAAAACCAGAGAAAAUGCAAUUACUACAUCAACAUGAUCUAUAUAACAAUAGCUAAAAAUCAUACGUCAGAAAGAAAGAAUAUAGGGUGAUUUUAAGCUAGGCGCAUCGGAGGGGUGAACUCGGUGAGGAAGACCUAGGAGAAAAAAUGAAAAAGCACAGUUUAGUGCAAUUGUCACUCCCAUUGUAAAAGUGACCCAAAUUGUGCCUUGAACGCGAGCAGAAACAUGCAAAGUAAAUGAGGGGACACACAAGCCCUCCAGGCAGUGAAGCUGGCUCCUGAGUUAGAAAACCCUCAUGAAGUGGUGGCAGCAGGGGGACAAUUUGCUGAAACAUCUGCUGAAGGAAGAGGUUCCAGCUCAUUGGAACUUCAGUGAC